rnacentral:rRNA from 1 species
UACGUAGGGUCCAAGCGUUAUCCGGAAUCACUGGGCGUAAAGCGUGCGUAGGCGGGUUUUUAAGUGUAAUGCGAAAUCCUGGGGCUCAACCCCAUGGACUGUAUUGCAUACUGGAUACCUUGAGGAAUGCAGAGGCAAGUGGAAUUACCGGUGUAGCAGUGAAAUGCGUAGAUAUCGGUAGGAACACCAAAUGGCGAAGGCAGCUUGCUGGGCAUUAUCUGACGCAAGGCACGAAAGCGUGGGGGAGCGAACAGGG